UUUUGUCCUGCAAACUUGUGAGUUUGGAUUGUCUGCUCUCUUAGCUGAAGGCUUGGGGCAGUGCACCUGAGCCCCCUGAACAUACUGGAGCAAUUAUGUCCUCACUAGCUGGCUUUAUCACUGACAGAACUUUCAGCCACCUUGGGAAAGUACCUGACCUGAAUAGAGUGCGAGUGGUUCCAAAUGGAACACACAGAGAACUCAUUCUUAGCUGAACCCUUGCAGAACUGGUGGAGGAAAGUGCGUUAUAGUUGAACUGUAACUCCCAUUGCAGUUUCAGUACAAAAUAGUGGAAUGAUUUGUGUGCCAAUCGGUAUGAACCAGAAAUAGUAGCUUUAUUUAACAUUGAAAUAAAGAAUAAGAUUGUA